rfam:Ictidomys tridecemlineatus contig147573, whole genome shotgun sequence.
GGAGUUGUGGCUCAGCAGUAGAGCGCUCACCUAGCAUGUGUGGGGCCCUGGGUUUGAUCCUCAGCAACACAU